UACGUAGGGUGCAAGCGUUAAUCGGAAUUACUGGGCGUAAAGCGUGCGCAGGCGGUUAUGCAAGUCAGCUGUGAAAUCCCCGGGCUCAACCUGGGAACUGCAUCUGUGACUGCAUAGCUAGAGUACGGUAGAGGGGGAUGGAAUUCCGCGUGUAGCAGUGAAAUGCGUAGAUAUGCGGAGGAACACCGAUGGCGAAGGCAAUCCCCUGGACCUGUACUGACGCUCAUGCACGAAAGCGUGGGGAGCAAACAGG
rnacentral:rRNA from 1 species